rnacentral:lncRNA from 1 species
UGAAGAAACAUACCUUAGUUGAAAGCAUGCAUAAGAAGAAAUGUGUAUAGGAGCCUCUGUCGCAGGAGAGAUGACCCCUUCUGUUAUUAGUACAGAAGUUGUCAUCUCUACUUCGCAGAAGCCCCUUCACUUUCUGCACUUCUCUACACUUAAAAGGUAAGAAUAAGGGUUUAUAUAAUGCAUGAGAUUUUGAUUAUACUAUUGAUUGUUCUGUUAUUUUUGUAGUAAUUAGCACUUGUUACCAUUGGUGACAAUAAAUCACAUGGAUUUUAAUUUGUUCUUCUUAUAAGUCCAUUCAUGGAUUUGUAUGUGCUUUUCCUCCUUAAAUUUGCCUUCAUAAUAUUGGAAAUCAAGAAAUCUCUACCCAUAGAAAAUCAAACAAAUAACUAUAUAUAUAUAUAUAUAUAUAUAUAUAUAUAUAUAUGUCAGCAUGUGUGUAAUAUAUAUAUUGUAGAUAUAAAGAUUUGUAUAUAACAAGUAUAAUAUCUAUAAUUUAUUUAAAUUACUUUUUUACAGAGUCAAUAAUAAUCAAAUAUGAAUAAUAAUAAUAAUAUAGUGAUAAUAUAUUAAACUUUUAAUAUGUUAGUGUAAUUAUAUAUGACUAGUAGAAGUUUAACCUUGCUUGUUUUUCACUGUCUAUAUUCACCACUUUUAAAAAUCAAUCCAUUAGAUUCAUCAAUAUGAUUGGCUCUUAGCUUUGGGUUGUCUGGUCUGCACUGUCUUUUCUUCCGACAGGCAUCCUUUCUCACAAAUUCUGUUAUCGGAUUCUAUCUUGGUUCUUUAUUCUUUGAACAAGUAAUAUAAAAAUGUAGCAUUUUAUUUUUAUUUGUUUAUUUAUCAAUUUUUAAUUAGUAGAGACAAAGAAUAGAGACAAACUUUGGGACAAAUGAUUGGUGUUACUUUUCUUUGUUGUCUUACUAUUCCUUCCAAUAAUUGCUUAUACUUGAGCUUUUAAUAACAAUUCCAUUUAUCCAAAUAAAGUCAAUUAGGUUGAAACAAUAAGUACAAUUACAAAUUGUCUUCAUUGCCUUAAUUCAUCAUAAUUAAUUUCCAAAAUCGUCAUUGUCCUAUUUCAAAGCUUUCAUCAUCACAUGCAUCAUAGGUGCCAACCCAUAUAUCUUUUUUGGAACAAACAUAGUUAGAACAAGUUGAGUCUUAAAGCCACUCUUCUCCUAUUCCACAUGCUAUAGUUUCUCUUUUUUUGUGUGUGCAAAAAUCCAAUCACUUAGAUCACGUUACUGAUCACCAGAUUUCACUAUAUUGAUCGCCUUCACAUUCCGAAACACGGGAGAUGAGCUAGGCAAGCCACCAUGGAGGAGGGAGGCACUACGCCACAGUUGUAGUUCAACAAUGUGUAUUUUAGAUGUAUAACAAUAUUUUUAUACGCUUUCUAUUUGACUAUGGUAGUAUAUUGUCAUCAUUAACAACAUUUCUCAAGUUGUUGUAUUGAAUGGCCGUUGUUAAUGAAUGGAGGUUGGAUUCGACGAAAACGGAGGUUAUAGCAAAGGAUGGAAGAUUGGUAUAGCCUCUAGUGAGGUUAGUGUUGCUGAGAAGAGAAGAAAAUAUAUAGCAUUUAACCAAUUUUUUUGGUUUCCCACAAGUAGGGGUGGCAAUAUGGGCUUGGCCCGACGGGCCAGCCCGUUCGGAUGGCUAUUUUAGCGGGCCGGGCUGAGGAUUUUAGCCCAAAAACCCAUAUUCAGCCCGUUUUAGUAGCCCGUUUUUUAGACGGGCCAAUGUUAAAAAAUAAAAAAACUAAAGUGUGUGACACUGUGCUGUGCGACGGGCGUGGCAACUGGUUUCUUCUUUAGAAUUUACAAGUUUUAAGCUAAGAUGUUAUGUUGUUAUUGUAAUAUUGUAGACUUAUGUUUAUGAUUUUUUGUUUUAAAAGACAUCUAUCAAGUUUGUUGAUUAUUUUUUGUCUAAAAGUUUUUAUUAUGUACAUUUUGGAGGGAAAACGGGCCAGCCUGUCAGCCCUGCAAAAUAUGGGUUGGGCUAGCAUUUUGAGCCUUUUUAACAAUACGGGCCGGGCCGGGCCAGGCCUUAUUUUGG